rnacentral:rRNA from 1 species
GACGAACGCUGGCGGCGUGCUUAACACAUGCAAGUCGAACGAGAAUCUGCGGAAAGAGGAUUCGUCCAAUUGAAGCAGAGGACAGUGGCGGACGGGUGAGUAACGCGUGAGGAACCUGCCUUUCAGAGGGGGACAACAGUUGGAAACGACUGCUAAUACCGCAUGACACAUUAGGGUCGCAUGGCCUUGAUGUCAAAGAUUUAUCGCUGAAAGAUGGCCUCGCGUCUGAUUAGCUAGUUGGUGAGGUAACGGCCCACCAAGGCGACGAUCAGUAGCCGGACUGAGAGGUUGAACGGCCACAUUGGGACUGAGAUACGGCCCAGACUCCUACGGGAGGCAGCAGUGGGGAAUAUUGGGCAAUGGGCGCAAGCCUGACCCAGCAACGCCGCGUGAAGGAAGAAGGCUUCGGGUUGUAAACUUCUUUGUCAGGGACGAGUAGAAGACGGUACCUGACGAAUAAGCCACGGCUAACUACGUGCCAGCAGCCGCGGUAA